rnacentral:rRNA from 1 species
GACGAACGCUGGCGGCGUGCUUAACACAUGCAAGUCGAACGGUGAUGCUCCAGCUUGCUGGCGUGGAUCAGUGGCGAACGGGUGAGUAACACGUGAGCAACCUGCCCCAGACUCUGGAAUAAGCUCUGGAAACGGCGUCUAAUACCGGAUACGAAACUGGCCCGCAUGGGCAUGGUUUGGAAAGUUUUGCGGUUUGGGAUGGGCUCGCGGCCUAUCAGCUUGUUGGUGAGGUAAUGGCUCACCAAGGCGACGACGGGUAGCCGGCCUGAGAGGGCGACCGGCCACACUGGGACUGAGAUACGGCCCAGACUCCUACGGGAGGCAGCAGUGGGGAAUAUUGCACAAUGGGCGGAAGCCUGAUGCAGCGACGCCGCGUGAGGGAUGACGGCCUUCGGGUUGUAAACCGCUUUCAGCAGGGAAGAAGCGAAAGUGACGGUACCUGCAGAAGAAGCACCGGCUAACUACGUG